CUUCUCUUCUCUCUCUCUCUCUCUCUCAUAUCAUGGUGUCUAUAUUUAGUUGCAAGCUGGGGUGCAACUACAACCCCACAUCUUUCCUUCUUUCCCUCUCAAAAUACUACAUACAAACCCCACAAAAAUUAGCCACCCCUUCCUCAAGUUUAGCCACUGGUUUGCUUGUUUUAUGCCAAUUCAAAAGGGUUUUGUGGGGCUUUGAAACACCCCUCUAGGUAUUUGAUUAUGACCCAGUUCCUAUUUUCCACAGAUCUCUCUCCUCUCCCUCUCCAUAAAUACCACUCUCUCCUCCUUUCUCUUUCCCUUCAAUCCCUCCGUCUUCCUCUCUCCCUAAUCCAUACUCCUUCUACACAACCUCUCUUGUAGUUACUUAGCUUCUAACAUGGACAAGACUAUCUCCGUGGAAGCUAGCUUGAAAAUUCUUUACUUAAUAUGCACCUCAAGUUCAUGCCCAUACUCUAAUACAUAAGCACAUCAUCACAUAAAAUAUAUCACUCCCCUGCAUAUAUAAGCAUCACAUACAUAUACUACAGGUAUACUUGUAUGUUUAUUUUUGCAUACGCAUGCUUUAACAUCAAGCAUACAUAUAUUGUAUGUGCCUGGCUCCCUGUAUGCCAUUUGCAGAGCCCACCGGAGAAUCGAUGGCCUCCGUGGAUGGCGUAUGAGGAGCCAUGCAUAUUCUCAUAUAUGUCAUCCAUGGUGUAUUUGCAGGAAUUUUUUUUCUUCUUCUUGCAAGCUUUAGCAGGCCAGUUAGAGAAUCGGGUUAUUGGUAUAUAUGAAGAAACACGCAAAUGGCAAUUCCCACUUGCUCUAGGGCACUUUCCCUUUGGCUUUGCUCUUUAUUAAAAUCAAAAGCAAAUGGAAUUGAUCGAAGAUGAAUAGUAAAUAAAGCAAAAGGGUAGAUAUUUAUCUUAUCAAGACCAUGACACUGUCUUAUUCUUUUCCAUAGACUCAUAGAGACUAGAGAGUGGAGUUGUGAGCUCACCCUGCAUGCACCAGAUAUAAUAAUAAUAAUGCACACGCUUUUCUUUCUUU